CAAUGGUCCGGUCCUGGGCUGGCUCCGGGGCCGCGAGCGGAACUCGGCGACUGGCGCCUCUUGCCCGGGGGGAGGUUGAGAAACGCUGCUCCAAAUAGCUAAACUACCAAGUGAGAUGAAAGAGCAUGAACCCUAAAGUCAAUGGAUUUACAAAAAAAAACAAACAAACAAGAUCCACACGUACCACCAAUGCACCUUUGGCCAUAAAGCUGGAGGAACAAGUUGUAUACUUCUACUCUGAAAGCAAAGGCAUUCUUGAACAGUUAUUUAUGCAAUGAAGUGAACUGAGCAGAA